rnacentral:tRNA from 1 species
GCCACGGUGGUCUAGUGGUUAUGGCGCCCGGCUGCGGACUGGAAGGUCGCGGGAUCGAAUCCCGGCCGCGGCG